UACAGAGGUCUCAAGCGUUAUUCGGAUUCACUGGGCGUAAAGGGUGCGCAGGCGGCCAGGUGUGUCAGGUGUGAAAGCCCGGAGCUUAACUCCGGAAUUGCGCCUGAAACUACUUGGCUAGAGCAUUGGAGAGGGUAGCGGAAUUCACGGUGUAGCAGUGAAAUGCGUAGAUAUCGUGAGGAACACCAGAGGCGAAGGCGGCUACCUGGACAAUUGCUGACGCUCAGGCACGAAAGCGUGGGGAGCAAAAGGG
rnacentral:rRNA from 1 species